rnacentral:rRNA from 1 species
GACGAGGGUCCUAGCGUUGUUCGGAAUCAUUGGGCGUAAAGCGUAUGUAGGCGGCUUUUCAAGUCAGAUGUGAAAGCCCACGGCUUAACCGUGGAAAUGCAUUUGAAACUGCUAAGCUUGAGUGCGAAAGAGGAUGGUAGAAUUCCAGGUGUAGUGGUGAAAUACGUAGAUAUCUGGAGGAAUACCGGAGGCGAAGGCGGCCAUCUGGUUCGCUACUGACGCUGAGAUACGAAAGUGUGGGGAUCAAACAGGAUUAGAAACCCCUGUAGU